rnacentral:rRNA from 2 species
UAGGGAAUCUUCCGCAAUGGACGAAAGUCUGACGGAGCAACGCCGCGUGAGUGAUGAAGGUUUUCGGAUCGUAAAACUCUGUUGUUAGGGAAGAACAAGUACGAGAGUAACUGCUCGUACCUUGACGGUACCUAACCAGAAAGCCACGGCUAACUACGUGCCAGCAGCCGCGGUAAUACGUAGGUGGCAAGCGUUGUCCGGAAUUAUUGGGCGUAAAGCGCGCGCAGGCGGUCCUUUAAGUCUGAUGUGAAAGCCCACGGCUCAACCGUGGAGGGUCAUUGGAAACUGGGGGACUUGAGUACAGAAGAGAAGAGUGGAAUUCCACGUGUAGCGGUGAAAUGCGUAGAGAUGUGGAGGAACACCAGUGGCGAAGGCGACUCUUUGGUCUGUAACUGACGCUGAGGCGCGAAAGCGUGGGGAGCAAACA